rnacentral:rRNA from 1 species
UACGUAGGGGGCAAGCGUUGUCCGGAAUUAUUGGGCGUAAAGGGCACGCAGGCGGUGGUUUAAGUUUGGUGUUUAAGCCCAGGGCUCAACCCUGGUACGCACUGAAAACUGGAUCACUUGAGUGCAGAAGAGGAGAGUGGAAUUCCACGUGUAGCGGUGAAAUGCGCAGAUAUCGGGAGGAACACCCGUGGCGAAGGCGGCUCUCUGGGACGUGACUGACGCUGAGACGCGAAAGCGUGGGGAGCAAACAGG